rnacentral:rRNA from 1 species
UACGUAGGGGCCUAGCGUUGUCCGGAAUUAUUGGGCGUAAAGAGCGUGUAGGCGGCCAAGCAGGUCAGCUGUGAAAACUCGAGGCUCAACCUCGAGACGUCGGUUGAAACCGCUUGGCUAGAGUCCGGAAGAGGAGAGUGGAAUUCCCGGUGUAGCGGUGAAAUGCGCAGAUAUCGGGAAGAACACCCGUGGCGAAGGCGGCUCUCUGGGACGGUACUGACGCUGAGACGCGAAAGCGUGGGGAGCGAACAGG